rnacentral:lncRNA from 1 species
UUGUUCUUGCAUUAUUGUUCUUGUCUUUACUUUAUUUCAUAACAAACUAUUUUUAAAUUACCACUUAUAAAUCUGGGUAUUUUUGAAUUUCUCCAUUUUGUGGCUACAAUAGCAAGACGCAAUUCAAAGUUCAAACUAAAAAGGAAUAUUAAGGUCGGAAAGCCAAUUCUCUGUAUUUUCAAUUUCAACAAGGGGUUUUAGCUGGGGUUAUGCAGAAACUACACUACUGAACCCUGGACCGAAUCCGGACCCCAUUGAAUCUUCAAAUGGUGCUCCGACUUGCCCACCGGCUCAGCCACCGCUCUCUUUCCUCCCUUCUAAUCCACGAUUCUUUCUCUGUAAGUUGUUCCGCAAAAGAGUUACCAUAAACAAAGAUUUUUAUUAGCAUAUUUAGAUGCAUAAAUUUGAUACGUUAUUUUGAAGAAUUUUUGUUGUAAUUACAGACUUGUGAUGCAUUUCUGAAAGUGGGUUUUAGGAGUUAUUGCACGGCGACCUGGAAUCCAAUUAGGAAUUUGUUUCCCUUGAAUUCUAUCAAGGGUACGUUUUAUUAGCCUUAUUUGUAUCUUUUUUUUUUGUUAUUUAUUUAUUUAUUGUUGUUAAUUUCAGCAAAUUUGUGGCCUUUUAUUUUCGGGUUAGGUUUUGUCACCGUGAAACUUCGUUUGAAUUUGAACAGCAUCUUUGCGCUCUAGGGUAGGGGUUAGGCUGCGUACAUGACACCCU